rnacentral:rRNA from 1 species
UACGUAGGGUGCAAGCGUUGUCCGGAAUUAUUGGGCGUAAAGAGCGUGUAGGCGGCCAGGUAGGUCCGUUGUGAAAACUCGAGGCUCAAUCCUCGAGACGUCGGCGGAAACCCUCUGGCUAGAGUCCGGAAGAGGAGAGUGGAAUUCCUGGUGUAGCGGUGAAAUGCGCAGAUAUCAGGAAGAACACCCGUGGCGAAGGCGGCUCUCUGGGACGGUACUGACGCUGAGACGCGAAAGCGUGGGGAGCAAACAGG